GCCAGGGUAGCGUAGUGGUUAUCGCAACUGCCUCGUGAGCAGGAGACUCGGGUUCAAAUCCCGACGUUGGUA